AUGCUUGGGCGUGCCUCCACCCACGCCGGCGUCGGCGGGCGUAUUUCGCCUCACAGUAGGUCGCCGCGACCCGUUGCUUUUGGGGACGUCGAAGGCCCGGACGGAUUGGUACCCUACCGGCUGGGGAUGCGGCUUCGGCUUCUCCUCUUGUCCGGUGGGCGAAACCGCCGGUGUCCUGGCUGCCCUGCGACGGUCGUAGAGACGAGCCCUCCCCUUCGGGGGGGCGGCUCUCGCGGCGUGCAAAAGGUCGGUGAUCCACCCGACCCGUCUUGAAACACGGACCAAGGAGUCUAACAUGUGUGCGAGUCAGUGGGCGCACUAAACCCAGAGGCGUAAUGAAAGUGACACGGGUUCGGCUGUCGCCUCGUGUGGCAGCCGGACUCAGGGCCGAUCCCUCACCGGUUGCCCUCGCUUCUCUCCCGCGUCUCGGUAAGCCGGGUGAGCUAUUUUCCCCGGCCGCUGCUGCGGGGCUCGGGGGGAGGCGGGGUUGCGAUGGUGUCCGUAAAAAAGAGCCUGCUGUUGCAGGGGGGCGCAGGCCCGGGACUUGCCAGGACGCCGCGAGACUGUCACUUUGCUGUGAGGCUCUCGGGCCGAUCAGCGGGUCAUGCGUGCAGUCGGCAAGUACCAUGAGCAGACAUGUUGGGACCCGAAAGAUGGUGAACUAUGCCUGGCCAGGAUGAAGCCAGAGGAAACUCUGGUGGAGGUCCGUAGCGAUUCUGACGUGCAA
rnacentral:rRNA from 1 species